AGUUAGUUAGGCGGAGAAUUUUCGCGGGAGAAUCUCGUUCGUGGUGAAUUGGACGGAAGAGGAGGCCAGGCGAUCCAUCAAGAUCGCGCGUAAAAUGCAGUCAAUCUAUCAAACGUCGCGUCGUGCAACAUAACUGCCUGUGUAAAUGCAGAUUUUAGAGAGUCGAGACUUGUACAACGUUUUGCUUUUCAUUUCUACUAUUGAUCGAAACUACCUACGCGCUCCGCGAUAUUUAUUGC